GAUGAACGCUAGCGGGAGGCCUAACACAUGCAAGCCGAGCGGUAGAGUCUCUUCGGAGACUUGAGAGCGGCGCACGGGUGCGGAACACGUGUGCAACCUGCCUUUAUCUGGGGGAUAGCCUUUCGAAAGGAAGAUUAAUACCCCAUAAUAUACUGGAUGGCAUCAUCUGGUAUUGAAAACUCCGGUGGAUAGAGAUGGGCACGCGCAAGAUUAGAUAGUUGGUGAGGUAACGGCUCACCAAGUCAGCGAUCUUUAGGGGGCCUGAGAGGGUGAUCCCCCACACUGGUACUGAGACACGGACCAGACUCCUACGGGAGGCAGCAGUGAGGAAUAUUGGACAAUGGGUGAGAGCCUGAUCCAGCCAUCCCGCGUGAAGGACGACGGCCCUAUGGGUUGUAAACUUCUUUUGUAUAGGGAUAAACCUAGAUACGUGUAUCUAGCUGAAGGUACUAUACGAAUAAGCACCGGCUAACUCCGC
rnacentral:rRNA from 1 species